rnacentral:rRNA from 1 species
UUCAAUACUGUAUAUAAUAUGUAUAGUGUGCACUUUUCUCUUAGUAAGACGUUGUGAUCCAUUAGAAAAUGAUGCGUGCAUCGUUGGGCUGCCAAUAGACUGAAUAUUGAAGUUCAUAAUGUUAAAUAACAUGAUCGCUUUUAAAAUGGUUGUGUAUAUUAACUUGUGAGCAAUAUUUUGCGCUGCAGUAGCUGUCUGAUGGAUUUUAAAGGCCACAUCAAUAAUGUACACCGUUGCAUUACUUGUUUUUAUUAACGAGACAAUGUGAUGUGUGCCCGAUCAACAACGGUUACAUUUGGGAUACCUUUUGGACCCGUCUUGAAACACGGACCAAGGAGUCUAUCUAGUAUGCAAGUAAAUGGGCAUUAUGUGAAACCUAUUUGCGUAAAUAACUUGACUGUUGUUAAAACAUGGGAUUACGAGCGAUAGUUUUCUGUUGCUCCUCCAUCCCGGGGUAUUUUCAUAACUAUGUGUGGCGCACUUGUGUGUUGCACGUAAGAAAAUAUACCAUGAGCAUACUGGAUAUGACCCGAAAGAUGGUGAACUAUGCCUGAUCAGGUUGAAGUCAGGGGAAACCCUGAUGGAGGACCGAAGCAAUUCUGACGUGCAAAUCG